GAGGCCAACUGGAAAGAUUCAGACAAAUACUUCCAUGCCAGAGGGAACUAUGAUGCUGCCCAAAGGGGUCCUGGGAGAGACUGGGUUGCUGAAGUCAUCAGCACCAUGAGGCUAGCCACAAUUCUUUUGCUCUUUAUUCACGGGAGUCGGUGGUGAUGGCUGGUAUCCGUUCUUCAAGGAAGCCAUACAAGGUAAGAAGUCGUCAGAGAUGAUGGGCACAUUUGUUGAACAAAUCCUAAUUGAUCUUAUAAUAAAAACCCGGAGCCUGAUGUUGGGGUAAAUGCUGAAAGAUCAGAGGAAACAGGCCACAGCCACUUCUCACCUCGCCAACUCCUCAGCCGAAAGGGGAAGAUCCUGUCUCUAUGGAUCCUCAGACUGAAUGCCCCCGAGUCCUCAGUUAAAGGAGCUGCGUGAGUUCCUGUCUCCUCCUGCCUUCUGUGCCUUUCUCUGCCCAGUCACAUCACUUCCUGUCUCAUCCUUCCUAGUGGUGGGAUUAAUGGCUUAUGUUCUUACCAAACACUGGGAGCAAAGGCAUGAUAUCCAAGUGCUGGGAUUAAAGGUGUGUGCCACCACUGCCUGGUCUCUAUGACUGAUCUAGUGGCUGUCUUUGCCCUCUGAUCUUCAGGUCCAUUUUAUUUGUUAGGAGUACAAACAAAAUAUCACCACACACAUUUCACUGUUCCAGGGACACCCUCUGAGCAGAGGCCACAUACCUGUAGGGUGCAGACACACC